UACGAAGGGUGCAAGCGUUACUCGGAAUUACUGGGCGUAAAGCGCGCGUAGGCGGCUUUGCAAGUCGGGUGUGAAAUCCCCAGGCUUAACCUGGGAACUGCAUUCGAGACUGCAUUGCUAGAGUAUGGGAGAGGGAAGUGGAAUUUCCGGUGUAGCGGUGAAAUGCGUAGAUAUCGGAAGGAACAUCAGUGGCGAAAGCGACUUCCUGGACCAAUACUGACGCUCAUGUGCGAAAGCGUGGGGAGCAAACAGG
rnacentral:rRNA from 1 species